UACGUAGGGUGCGAGCGUUGUCCGGAAUUAUUGGGCGUAAAGGGCUCGUAGGCGGUUUGUCACGUCGGGAGUGAAAACUCGGGGCUUAACCCCGAGCCUGCUUCCGAUACGGGCUGACUAGAGGUAUGCAGGGGAGAACGGAAUUCCUGGUGUAGCGGUGAAAUGCGCAGAUAUCAGGAGGAACACCGGUGGCGAAGGCGGUUCUCUGGGACGGUACUGACGCUGAGACGCGAAAGCGUGGGGAGCAAACAGG
rnacentral:rRNA from 1 species